AACUUUCAACAACGGAUCUCUUGGUUCUGGCAUCGAUGAAGAACGCAGCGAAAUGCGAUACGUAAUGUGAAUUGCAGAUUUCAGUGAAUCAUCGAAUCUUUGAACGCACAUUGCGCCCGCUAGUAUUCUGGCGGGCAUGCCUGUUCGAGCGUCA
rnacentral:rRNA from 1 species